GACGAAGGGGGCUAGCGUUGUUCGGAAUUACUGGGCGUAAAGCGCGUGUAGGCGGGUGCCCAAGUCGGGUGUGAAAGCCUUGAGCUCAACUCAAGAAAUGCACUCGGUACUGGGUGACUAGAGGACCGGAGAGGAUAGUGGAAUUCCCAGUGUAGUGGUGAAAUACGUAGAGAUUGGGAAGAACACCAGUGGCGAAGGCGGCUAUCUGGACGGUUUCUGACGCUAAGACGCGAAAGCGUGGGGAGCAAACAGG
rnacentral:rRNA from 1 species